rnacentral:rRNA from 1 species
GACGAACGCUGGCGGCGUGCUUAACACAUGCAAGUCGAACGGAGUGGCGAACGGGUGAGUAACACGUGGGUGACCUGCCCUGCACUUCGGGAUAAGCCUGGGAAACUGGGUCUAAUACCGGAUAGUGUGGGAUGGGCCCGCGGCCUAUCAGCUUGUUGGUGGGGUAAUGGCCUACCAAGGCGGCGACGGGUAGCCGGCCUGAGAGGGUGGACGGCCACCAUGGGACUGAGACACCGGCCCGACUGCUACGGGAGGCAGCAGUGGGGAGUAGUGCACACUGGGCGGAGGGCUGAUGCAGCGACGCCGCGUGGGGGAUGACGGCCUUCGGGUUGUAAACUCCUUUCACCAUCGACGCGGUAGAUGGAGAAGAAGCACCGGCUAACUACGUGCCAGCAGCCGCGGUAAUAC